rnacentral:tRNA from 1 species
GGGGCUGUGGUUCAGUGGUAGGGUGCUUGCUUUGCAUGCAAGAGGACCUAGGUUCAGCUCCC